CUAGGAAUCUUGCGCAAUGGGCGAAAGCCUGACGCAGCAACGCCGCGUGGGGGAUGAAGGCCCUCGGGUUGUAAACCCCUUUCAGCAGGGACGAAACUGACGGUACCUGCAGAAGAAGCCCCGGCCAACUACGUGCCAGCAGCCGCGGUAAUACGUAGGGGGCAAGCGUUGUCCGGAUUCAUUGGGCGUAAAGGGCGAGUAGGUGGUUACGCAAGUCGGAUGUGAAAACUCCAGGCUCAACCUGGAGACGCCACCCGAUACUGCGUUGACUAGAGUCCGGUAGGGGACCACGGAAUACCUGGUGUAGCGGUGAAAUGCGCAGAUAUCAGGUGGAACACCGGUGGCGAAGGCGGUGGUCUGGGCCGGCACUGACACUGAAUCGCGAAAGCGUGGGGAGCGAACAGG
rnacentral:rRNA from 1 species